ACAAAUACAGAUGAAAUAAAAGAGAUCGAGGUUGGUUUAAGCCUGAAAGCUCAGCCUCACAAGUUAUACCAGAUACCGGACUCUCUCCCCUCUCCCUCUCUCUCUCUCUCUCUCUCUCACACACACACGUCGGAUCGAUAGGUAAGCCGUAAUCGAUCGCCUCUGUUUUCUUUUCACUGCUUCUUGGAUCAUAAAUUGAUGUGUGGUAGUUUUUGUUUCUUUGAUUGUUCCAUAUUUUUUUCAUGCUGAAGAUUCGAGUUACUUGUUUAUGAGUUUCUAACAGUGUUUAUAGUUGUCGAUUCGAUUAGUUCAAUCAUGGAGAUCUGCUAUUUCAGCUGGUUAGGUCUUCAGUUAACCGAGAAUGUAAUUUUAGUGAUGAUUUUAUGGCGGAUAUUUACCUUUCGAAUUAUUUCAUUGAAAAGGAAAUUGGGAUUUAUGACUCUGUUGAUAGACUGUUGUGAACCUUAGAGUAGUUCUUUAUUUCAUUUGAAGAUUGAGGUAUUGCAGAUUGGAUUCUUGUGGGUUUGAGAUGAAUGGACUAAAAAAAUCCCAUAAGAAUUGAUGCAAAUUUGGAUAUUGUGAUUCUUCCAAUUUUCACUUGGCUGACCUAGGUUAAGUUUAAACCUUCGAAGAAUCGGGGUGUUUGGCUACUUUAGAAUUGUGAUUCUUCUAAUUUUCACUUUAGAGAUUGGCUUACAUUCAAUGAUUUCCAUUAAACAGUCUUAACACAAUAUUCAGAUCUGGGAUAGAGGAGACGUUUUAUGAGUUAUGAAAUCAAUGAAAGUGCUGAUAGAUAAAUUCCACCAGAUUUUCAAAAUCCAGCUACAACUGAGUAUAUUAUUUAGUAGGAUAUUACUUCUGAAAACCUCAAGAUAACCCAACUACAAGAAUAGCUCCCAGUUUACAAUGUCUUUUGAAAUCUAAGUCUUCAAUAUCGUAUAAAGAGUGUACUGAGCCAUAUAUCUCUUAGGAGCGUAGAAAUGGGAUGCAGUUAAAUAGUUGUCCUGUGUUUGAAAUAUGAUUGAGAAGAAGUGAUAAAUUAGCUUCAUUUCUGUGUUACAGGGCUCCUCUGAGUAGUUCGUCAAUUGGAGGUUAACGAUGAGUCGUUCAGAAACUAUUAUCUUCGUUUAAAGAGACUAGAUCCUCUAAGUUUCUGUUCCGGGAGGCUAAAUGUACCCCAAUUAUACUUUGAGAAGCUAAUUGCAACCUGUUGCCCUCUUUUUGUCCUUUAGUACUUACUUUGUUUUCACUAAUAAGUUGAUA
rnacentral:lncRNA from 1 species